rnacentral:rRNA from 1 species
UACGUAGGGGGCAAGCGUUGUCCGGAAUCACUGGGCGUAAAGCGCGCGCAGGCGGCUGUCUACGUCCGGGGUGAAAGCCCAGAGCUCAACUCUGGGAUUGCCUUGGAUACGGGAUGGCUUGAGGAUCGGAGAGGCAAGGGGAAUUCCACGUGUAGCGGUGAAAUGCGUAGAGAUGUGGAGGAACACCGAUGGCGAAGGCAGCCCCCUGGGACGUCACUGACGCUCAUGCACGAAAGCGUGGGGAGCAAACAGG